GAUGAAGAACGCAGCGAAAUGCGAUAAGUAAUGUGAAUUGCAGAAUUCAGUGAAUCAUCGAAUCUUUGAACGCACAUUGCGCCCGCCAGUAUUCUGGCGGGCAUGCCUGUUCGAGCGUCAUUUCAACCAUCAAGCCCCAGGCUUGUGUUGGGGACAUGCGGCUGCCGCAGGCCCUGAAAACCAGUGGCGGGCUCGCUGUCACACCGGGCGUAGUAGAUUUUAUCUCGCUCAGGGCGUGCUGCGGGUUCCGGCCGUUAAAGAGCCUUUUUUACCCAAGGUUGACCUCGGAUCGGGUAGGAAGACUCGCUGAACUUAAGCAUAUCAAUAAGCGGAGGA
rnacentral:misc_RNA from 1 species